GCCACCUUAGCUCAGUUGGUAGAGCGCCACUUUCGUAAAGUGGAGGUCCUCGGUUCAAUCCCGAGAGGUGGCUCCA
rnacentral:tRNA from 1 species